UUUAAUGGUUGGCAGGAAGGGAAGGGCAUCUUGUUUGAGUUCCCUGACUGUUUGAGGCUUUCUGAAGUGUCCGAUGGAAGAUGUUGAUGCUUCUGGAAGCAAUGAUAAAAAUAUAGUGGACUUUGGCCAGCAAGUUCAGCGCUUUUUAAUCAGCUGCUGUUGGAAUCCAGUGUCCUUGUGUGGCUGCCCAGGUGCUGUCCUACCAAGCAGUAACCGUUUGUAUUUACAAGCACCACCUUCACACUGGGCAGCAACUUCACUAAGUGGAAAGUAAAGAAAACACCAAAUAGUGAGGAACCCUGGAUUUUAUUCUUAGAUUUAGCACUGAUGAGGAGAGAAAGGAAAGAGAAUUCUCUAGUUCUAUUUCCGGUUGUAUUAUUUAUGAAGUAUGUAAGCUUAAAACAAGGAGACACUCCUUUUAGUGAUCAAGGGUUCAUGCUAGACACUUUUAGGACUUAAGUGAUAAAACUAUAAAGAAUCUCUUUCAAAUCCACCACAUAUUGCAAAUCCCAUUGUUUAAAAUGCAUGCAGUCAACAAAUCUGAAUUGUUCAGGUGCAUGUCCCUGUCUGUGCAAACAUUUCUUGAGGUACUAAAUA